rnacentral:rRNA from 1 species
UACGAAGGUGGCAAGCGUUGUUCGGAUUUACUGGGCGUACAGGGAGCGUAGGCGGUUGGAUAAGCCCUCCGUGAAAUCUCCAGGCUUAACCUGGAAAGUGCAGAGGGGACUGUUCAGCUAGAGGAUGGGAGAGGAGCGCGGAAUUCCAGGUGUAGCGGUGAAAUGCGUAGAUAUCUGGAGGAACACCGGUGGCGAAGGCGGCAUCCUGGACCGGUAUUGACGCUGAGGCGCGAAAGCCAGGGGAGCAAACGGG